UACGAAGGGGGCUAGCGUUGCUCGGAAUCACUGGGCGUAAAGCGCACGUAGGCGGAUUGCUAAGUCAGGGGGUGAAAUCCUGGAGCUCAACUCCAGAACUGCCUUUGAUACUGGCGAUCUUGAGUCCGGGAGAGGUGAGUGGAACUGCGAGUGUAGAGGUGAAAUUCGUAGAUAUCGCAAGAACACCAGUGGCGAAGGCUGGCUCACUGGCCCGGUACUGACGCUGAGGCGCGAAAGCGUGGGGAGCAAACAGG
rnacentral:rRNA from 1 species